AUAAGAUUAGUUAAAAUUUAUAACUUUGGAUUUGCGUUCUAAGAUUGAAAUUAUAAUUUCAUCUUAUA
rnacentral:tRNA from 1 species